GUUUAUGAUCAUACCACCCUGAGUGUACCCAAGCUUGUCUGAUCCUCAGGAGCAAAGCAAGGUCAGGCUUAGUUAGUACUUGGAUGAGAGAAAGUGGCAAAGAAUUAUGGCCU
rnacentral:rRNA from 1 species